CAUCUAAGCAUGAAGCCCCCCUCGAGAUGAGAUUUCCCAACUUCGGUUAUAAGAUCCCUCAAAGAUGAUGAGGUGAAUAGGUUCGAGGUGGAAGCGUAGCGAUACGUGGAGCUGACGAAUACUAAUCGAUCGAAGACUUAAUCAA
rnacentral:rRNA from 1 species